rnacentral:rRNA from 1 species
GAGGAGCUUGCUCUUCUUGGAUGAGUUGCGAACGGGUGAGUAACGCGUAGGUAACCUGCCUGGUAGCGGGGGAUAACUAUUGGAAACGAUAGCUAAUACCGCAUAAAAUUGAUUAUUGCAUGAUAGUCAAUUGAAAGGUGCAACUGCACCACUACCAGAUGGACCUGCGUUGUAUUAGCUAGUUGGUGGGGUAACGGCUCACCAAGGCGACGAUACAUAGCCGACCUGAGAGGGUGAUCGGCCACACUGGGACUGAGACACGGCCCAGACUCCUACGGGAGGCAGCAGUAGGGAAUCUUCGGCAAUGGACGGAAGUCUGACCGAGCAACGCCGCGUGAGUGAAGAAGGUUUUCGGAUCGUAAAGCUCUGUUGUAAGAGAAGAACGAGUGUGAGAGUGGAAAGUUCACACUGUGACUUGUUCUACCAGA